UAGUACCUGCAGGAAGAGAAAGAAAAUUCGAUUCCCUGAGUAGCGGCGAGCGAAACGGGAAGAGCCCAAACCAACAAGCUUGCUUGUUGGGGUUGUAGGACUCCGAUAUGGUAGUCUGUUAGUAUAGUUGAAGGAUUUGGAAAAUUCCGCUAAAGAGGGUGAAAGCCCCGUAGACGAAAUGCUGACAACACCUAGGAGGAUCCUGAGUACGGCGGAACACGAGAAAUUCCGUCGGAAUCCGCGGGGAC
rnacentral:rRNA from 1 species